rfam:Schistosoma rodhaini strain Burundi genome assembly, scaffold: SROB_scaffold0001361
AUCCAGCUAACGAGUCCCAAAUAGGACGUAACGCGCAUCUUGGAU